AUCCAGAUGAUAAGUCUCAUAUAGGAUGAAACGCGUGUCCUGGAU
rnacentral:hammerhead_ribozyme from 1 species